GCUGCCCGUGGAGCCUGACGAGGGAGGCAUUCCUCCCGUCGAACGGCAGUUGCCCCGACACAAUGGGAAGUUACUUCAGAAACUCGCUCCUCUAAUCAUUAAAAUCGUCGUGUUUUCCAGCCUGAACUGAUGUACGGCCGAUUUCUAGUCAGGGUUCUGUGGUCAUGAAGAAUUGCAGGUUGCACAAUGCUAUACAGUGGAUCCAACAAAAUUCUGAAAGAAGGUCUGCAGCAGUCCUCCAGAUCUCAAACACCUUGAUGGGAAAGUUUGCCUGCAAGUCGCAUGGCCCUUACCUGAUAGUCCUUCCUAUUUAGAGAUGCUAAUUGAAUGCUGUGACAGAGAUUUCCGCAGGGGAAAAAUGUGGAAUCCCAGCCUAAAAUCUCACAUCGCAGAGGCAAUGUCUUCAGCUUCAUGUUGUGCCAGGACUGGCCGCCUGCUAGGGAACGUCACUGAAACGCUUGCAGCUGCCAGUGAAAGCACAUCAGCCCCUUUCACUAACUGCAGGUCUGCUGAUGUGCAGGGAUUGAAUAUACAGUGCCAACAGCCUCCUGGGGAUGUAUUUCCCCCUGCAGUAUCCAGAGUCACUGUAAGUGCCUGCCCUGCACUGCACAGUGUGGUGGGAAAUGGGGACAUCAGGAGGAAGGGGAAGCACAUGCUGUACUCUGUUCUGGGAUAAUGCAACGAGGGCUUUUUGUUGGAAACGUGAGGUAUCUGCUUGCAGCUGUGUUGGGAGAGAGGACACUGGACUAACAGGGGCCUUGGUCUGAUGCAGUAUGGUCUGUGUUACAUCGUACACCAGACUAUAAAGCGUGGCUUUGCAGAGGCUGCUGUGUGUCCUACUCGUCUGUUCUUGCUUUAGGGCCAGCAACCUCCAAGAUAGUGAUGUGGAAAGCAGCCUGUGGUCAUAAGAGCUUUGGACGUGCAGUUGAGUCUACCACUGCACAUGAAUCAUCAUCUGACUGCACCAUGCUAGAUUUACUAAGGAACUGAAUACUGUCCUUCACAAGAGUCAGUAUGAACAGCCCUGCCUCUGCCUGCACAUCUUCAGCACAGGGAAUUGGCCAGCAGCAACCCUGAAUCCCAUUUACCAGCUUCACGCUCUGUAAUUAUAGAGAAGCCAGGAAAGAAAAACAAGACUGAUCUCUAGCACCCAGUGAGGAUCAGGCAGCAAAAAAUGUCUCUGGGUUGGGUUCAAAGUAUACAUGAAGAAAGAAGCAGCAUGUUAGAGUGAUCCAGCUCUUCACCAACUGGCCUUGCUGUUACUGUUAGCUACAGUUGUUAUCCCAAGACUAAACCUCCCGAGGUGAUACUGGCAUCCCUUCAAACCAUAAGAAGCAAGAUAGCUGGGCCAUGAACGCCUCUGAGCUGAGAGUGCAACCUGUGUAACACAAACCAGCACAGCUCCACACCCAUCCGAAACUGGCCCCGAUCUGCUGCAAUAGCCUAUGGCUUUUCCAGGUGCAAGGACUGCCCCAACUGAAGAUCGGAGGACUUGUGACAAUCCUUCAUCUCUCUGGUGGCAUCCUCAUCCAGCUGUUCCUCUGCCAGGAGCUGGCGCUGGUAGUAGUGCAUGCGUCCAUAGUAAUCCUCUGCUGAGCCUUUUACCCAGGACUGGCUGUCCCCAGUUUCUUCGGAAAAUGCCUUUGAACUUACUGUGCUGUGCUAGCUUCCAGAGGUGCCACCCAGGUAUGUUCCCCAUCCCUCUGCUGCUCCCAGAGAGCUCACAGCUCCCCGCAGCGCGAGCCAAAGUCCGGAGACAAGAUGGGGAUGACACCAAGAGGGGAGCGAUGCAGAGAAACAUUCAGAGACGGGGAGUUGAAGGAGAAGGGAAAAAGCUGGGAGGUGAGGAGGACCUUUGGCAUGGAAACAUCCUGCCAGUGCCACAGUGAAGAAAGCAGCAGCAGGAGCUGGCACCUGCCUGGGGCAGGCCGUGGGGCAGGAGCCCCCAAAGAGGCUGUGGCAACCCAGGCUAUAAGCCUAGGCCGAUGGCGAGGCGGCUGGUGCCGAAAUGGGUAGGUGCUGCGCACAAGGCGAACCUGCCUCGUACAGGGUGAUGCCAGGAGCUUCUUGCGAGGCAGUUGGCAUCGCCGCUGUCUGCCCAGAGGAGCCGCGGUGGAGGCGGCAUCUCCUCAGCGUCUCCGGCACUGCCAGCAGGACUGAGUGCCCGGGGAAGGGGCUCUGAGCACACCUCUUCCUGCGGCUGUGCACGAGGAGUGCCGAGAGCAAUUACUGAUCAAAACAGAACAAAGAGGAAGAAAAUGUGACUGACUACCACGAAUAUUAAGAAAUUUUUUCUAGCUGUUCAGAGAGCCACCAGCUUAAUUCACAAAGGCACAGAGUUUAUUUCUAGACCUAUUGUACUUCCAUGUCAUAAUAUAUAAUAAUUAUGUACCGAUUUUAGGCAUAGCUGUUAAUUUUAAGUCACGCUGAAGCCACACGUGGUUAAUGGUGGGGUGAGAGAGUUGGGCGCUUGCUCCCAGAGGAGGAGCAGGCUCAGGGCCCGGAGCCAGGCUCGGCGUUAUCUCAGCUGUCACCGUGAACUCUUCAACCCUCACAGACGUUAAACAGCUUCACA